rnacentral:rRNA from 1 species
GCUGGCGGCGUGGCUAAGACAUGCAAGUCGCACGGACUAUGCUUAACCGUAUAGUCAGUGGCGAAAGGGUGAGGAAUAGAUAGGUAACGUACCUUAUGCACCGGAAUAGCGUCGUUAGUAGCAAUACUAACUACCGAAAGGGGCGGUAAUACCGGAUAACGUUGUCGGUCGCAUGACUGACAUCCAAUGGAUUUAUCGGCAUAAGAGCGGCCUUUCUCCUAUCAGCUUGUUGGUGAGGUAAUGGCUCACCAAGGCUAUGACGGGUACCGGGGUUGAGAGAUCGGCCCGGCACAUCGGAACUGAUACACUGUCCGGACCUCCACGGAGGGCUGCAGUAACGAAUAUUGGGCAAUGGGCGCAAGCCUGACCCAGCGACGCCGCGUGAAGGAUGAAGUCCUUCGGGAUGUAAACUUCUUUUAGGGUGCUGAAAGUCCGCAAGGAUUGAUCUAACCCAGAAAAAGUCACGGCUAACUCUGUGCCAGCAGCCGCGGUAAUACAGAGGUGGCAAGCGUUGUUCGGAAUCACUGGGCUUAAAGCGUGUGUAGGCAGA